rnacentral:rRNA from 1 species
UGAGGAAUAUUGGUCAAUGGACGCAAGUCUGAACCAGCCAUGCCGCGUGCAGGAUGACGGCUCUAUGAGUUGUAAACUGCUUUUGUACGAGGGUAAACCCGGAUACGUGUAUCCGGCUGAAAGUAUCGUACGAAUAAGGAUCGGCUAACUCCGUGCCAGCAGCCGCGGUAAUACGGAGGAUUCAAGCGUUAUCCGGAUUUAUUGGGUUUAAAGGGUGCGUAGGCGGUUUGAUAAGUUAGAGGUGAAAUACCGGUGCUUAACACCGGAACUGCCUCUAAUACUGUUGAGCUAGAGAGUAGUUGCGGUAGGCGGAAUGUAUGGUGUAGCGGUGAAAUGCUUAGAGAUCAUACAGAACACCGA